rnacentral:lncRNA from 1 species
CUGAAGCCUGUUCCCUUCUUCAUUUGUGAGACCAGCUCCCACUUUCUGUGUCCCGUGCACGCUGCAGCCUCUUCUGGAAACUUAACAUUGGGCUAGAUCAGUGCUCCCUCUCCAGCAUUGGUGGAGGGGUGUGGAGGGGAUCUGAGCAGCAGCUCUGAAGGACAAGGUGUAGGUACUUUGGGGCAACCUUCUGCUGAGGAGAAAGGGCUCAUACUGACGUGUAUUCCUUUCAAGUAGUUGUUCCUCCCUUUCCUUCCAAAAUGACACAUUUUGAAAGUGGAACAGGUCCAAGCAUGCAGAGAAGAGUGGAGAAUAACGUCGUGAGAUACACUCACCACGCUGUUUGCC